CAGGCAGGACUGGGAGGAGCCAGGAAAGCCCUGGUGCUCAGAAGUGGAGGGCCAAGACAAGCCUCCCUGCCCCGUGACAAGGUCCUCAGUCACAGGAACAGUAGGGACUCUUAGGCAUGACACAUCAACACAGGGUGUGACAAGAGCUGGGAGUGAUAGUGAGGUCACAAGGUUCCUCCUCUCUGGGGCCUGACAUUGUUCUAUGAACCACUCCCAACACUGGGAAGGACCUGGAUUCCUCCAGGUCUCCCCACUGCCAGCUUAGGGCACAUCGAGUGCAGGUGAAAAGGUAGCUCCGAUAUUUACAUGUUCACAUUCUCAAUCUCCACCCGUCACACCCCAAAAUCACUCAUUGAUGCCACUUCACACCAUCAGCAGUUUUCCCCUCUGGGAUCCUCUAAGAGUUCUCUAACCUGGGAGGCCAGGAUGUAGAGGGUUGGCCUGAUGCUGCCAGUAUUCUAAUGCGAACCUUGGGCCUCCGAGCCUGGUUGCCCCAGAGAUGUAGGUACUAAGUGACCCUGCCCUCAAGUUACUUCUGAUUGGUAAAUAAAGAUGCCAACAGCCAAUAGCUGGGCAGAAGAGACAUAGGUGGGGUUUAGGUUUCAUGGGCUUGGGGUUGGAGGAGGACCACAAGGAGAAGAAGGUGGUGCAGGAGGAAGGAAGGAGAAGCCACCAUGGGUUAGGUGAGCCAUAAAAGCACGGCCCUGAGGGCUUCCCAACUGGAGUUAAGAGCAGCCCAGAUGAGACAUAUGGUGAGCAGAACACAGGACGAACUCUGGCUGGCAUCGCUCACAUUCGCAACUCUGCCCAAGACACACACAGUCCGUGUGUCAGCAAGGCCGAGGGACGCACAGCUUUCUAACUCAAGUAUUCACAGUAUGCAGUGCUUCACCAUGUUGGAUUGGAACUUGUUUUUGGACUGAAAUCUCAAAUGGGUUUGUCCUCUCACAGGAGAACCUCCCUGUGUCGAGACGGGACACAGAGAAGCAGCCAUUCAGAGCUGCUCAGGCCGAAUCACCCACAUGUCUUCAGGAGAACAUCUGCUGAGCCCAGAGACUCGUCUUACCACUAGGGAGACAUGAGCACUUCCCCAACAGGCAUCUUGGAAUACUUGUUCAAAGAAAGAAGACUUAAUCCCAUGCAAUCCAACCUUUAAGUAUAACCUCCAGGCAAGCUGGAACCAGUCUUAUCUCUGGUAGGAACCGCAGCUGGGAGAUGCAAGACAUGUUGCCUGCAAGCUCAUGGCACUGUUGUGGGGAGUGGGACCCAGCAUCCUACUAAGUUUGGGUGAAACAUCCAUGAACCCAAAGUUGAUGGAAUGAAAGCCAGCAUUGAGUGAGGUGUGCAAACAGCUUUCUGGAAGGGGCCUUGUCCUACAUGGGCAAUAGUCAUGGAGCUGCUUGUCUUUGGAGGACACACAGACAACGCACAAAGAAACACUACAGUAUGCACCGAUCUGAGCUUCAUUCAAAGGCAAAGAGUCUCGAGUUAUGAAAGAAGAACUUGAGUCACAACUAUGGGACAGAUGGCAGAUUCUGAGUGAGGACAGAAGUGCCAGUACUUCUUUACCACUGGACAAAGCUCAGAACCAGAACAUCAACUGGGAGGGGGCAGAGAGAGGGUGGCAGCCUCAGGCAAGGGAAGAGUUCUGUUGGGGCUCAGACUCUCCUUGGCCAGAGGCUUUAAGUUUCUGAGCAAAAUGAUAGCAAACCUAAGAUCCAUAGCAGCGGUGAGGAACACAGGAGAUGUAAGGUUAGGGGUGGGAAGGCUGCCAGUAGGAAGGACAGUAAACUCAGUGCUGCCUGUAUAAACCUUCCAGGACCUCUUGGUUGUAAAAUGUUAGUGAUGAUGGUGAUGAUGGUGAUGAUGGUGAUGAUGGUGGUGAUGAUGGUGGUGAUGGUGAUGAUGGUGAUGAUGGUGAUGAUGGUGAUGAUGGUGAUGAUGGUGGUGAUGGUGAUGAUGGUGGUGAUGGUGAUGAUGGUGGUGAUGGUGAUGAUGGUGGUGAUGGUGAUGAUGGUGAUGAUGGUGGUGAUGGUGGUGAUGGUGAUGAUGGUGAUGAUGGUGGUGGGUGGUGCUGACGGCCUUUGGGCUCAACAAUACCAAGUAUAUAAUUUCAUGUUGUAAACUUCAUGUUAAAAUAUGUAUGCUAGUUAUGUAGUUAAAAUUGCAUCUCAGAUAUAAAGAGAUGUAAUUCAA